GACGAACGCUGGCGGCGUGCCUAACACAUGCAAGUCGAACGAAGCUUGAUUUCUGAUUUUUUCGGAAUGACGAAUGAUAUGACUGAGUGGCGGACGGGUGAGUAACGCGUGAGCAACCUGCCCUUCGGAACGGGAUAGUGUCUGGAAACGGACAGUAAUACCGUAUAACAUAUAUUGAUCGCAUGGUCGAUAUAUCAAAACUGAGGUGCCGAAGGAUGGGCUCGCGUCUGAUUAGAUAGUUGGUGGGGUAACGGCCUACCAAGUCGACGAUCAGUAGCCGGACUGAGAGGUUGAACGGCCACAUUGGGACUGAGACACGGCCCAGACUCCUACGGGAGGCAGCAGUGGGGAAUAUUGCACAAUGGGGGAAACCCUGAUGCAGCAACGCCGCGUGAAGGAAGACGGUUUUCGGAUUGUAAACUUCUGUUCUUAGUGAAGAAU
rnacentral:rRNA from 1 species